UGUAUCUGUGGGGCAGGUUUACAGCUUCACUGUUACUGAGGGAGGAGAGUAUUACUGUGAGGCUACAAAUGAUCUGGGGAAUCAGAGAUCAGCAGUGAUCCUUCUUACUUUUAAAGAUGAUCGAGUGUUUGGACUCCAUGUUAUACUGAAGAUCCUGGGAAUUAUGAUGCUCUUAAUUGGGAUUGUCAUCUUUGAAUGCUGGUUCAGAUUCUUCAACAAACCAAAGAAGG